rnacentral:rRNA from 1 species
GAUGAACGCUAGCUACAGGCUUAACACAUGCAAGUCGAGGGGUAACGAGAGGAAAGCUUGCUUUCCUUGUCGACGACCGGCGCACGGGUGAGUAACGCGUAUCCAACCUGCCCCCAACUAGGGAAUAACCUUGCGAAAGUAAGACUAAUACCCUAUAAUUUCCUCAGAUGUCAUCUGACGAGGAAUAAAGAUUUAUCGGUUGUGGAUGGGGAUGCGUCUGCUUAGCUUGUUGGCGGGGGAACGGCCCACCAAGGCAACGAUCAGUAGGGGUUCAGAGAGGAAGGUCCCCCAGAUUGGAACUACGACACGGUCCAAACGCCUACGGGAGGCAGCAGUGGGGAAUAUUGGUCAAUGGGCGGAAGCCUGAACCAGCCAAGUAGCGUGCAGGAUGACGGCCAUAUGGGUUGUAAACUGCUUUUAUACAGGAAUAAAGUUAGCCACGUGUGGUUAUUUGUAGGUACUGUAUGAAUAAGGACCGGCUAAUUCCGUGCCAGCCGCCGCCGUAA